rfam:Cavia porcellus supercont2_0 genomic scaffold, whole genome shotgun sequence.
GGGGUUAUAGCUCAGUGGCACAGGGUCUGCCUGGCAAGCACAAGGUCCUAAGUUCGAUUCCUAGUACCAACA